rnacentral:rRNA from 1 species
CCUACGGGUGGCAGCAGUGAGGAAUAUUGGUCAAUGGGCGCGAGCCUGAACCAGCCAAGUCGCGUGAGGGAAGACGGCCCUACGGGUUAUAAACCUCUUUUGCCGGGGAGCAACGGGCGCCACGUGUGGCGCCACUGACAGUACCCGCAAAAAAAGCAUCGGCUAACUCCGUGCCAGCAGCCGCGGUCAUACGGAGGAUGCGAGCGUUAUCCGGAUUUAUUGGGUUUAAAGGGUGCGUAGGCGGAGCGUUAAGUCAGUGGUAAAAUUGAGGGGCUCAACCCCUUCCCGCCAUUGAAACUGGCGCACUGGAGUGGAAGAGAAGUAUGCGGAAUGCGUGGUGUAGCGGUGAAAUGCAUAGAUAGCACGCAGAACCCCGAUUGCGAAGGCAGCAUGCCGGCUUCCGACUGACGCUGAAGCACGAAAGCGUGGGGAUCGAACAGGAUUAGAUACCCGGGUAGUC